GACGAACGCUGGCGGCGUGCUUAACACAUGCAAGUCGAACGGAAAGGCCCUGCUUUUGUGGGGUGCUCGAGUGGCGAACGGGUGAGUAACACGUGAGUAACCUGCCCUUGACUUUGGGAUAACUUCAGGAAACUGGGGCUAAUACCGGAUAGGAGCUCCUGCUGCAUGGUGGGGGUUGGAAAGUUUCGGCGGUUGGGGAUGGACUCGCGGCUUAUCAGCUUGUUGGUGGGGUAGUGGCUUACCAAGGCUUUGACGGGUAGCCGGCCUGAGAGGGUGACCGGCCACAUUGGGACUGAGAUACGGACCAGACGCCUACGGGAGGCAGCAGUGGGGAAUAUUGCGCAAUGGGCGGAAGCCUGAUGCAGCAACGCCGCGUGCGGGAUGACGGCCUUCGGGUUGUAAACCGCUUUCGCCUGUGACGAAGCGUGAGUGACGGUAAUGGGUAAAGAAGCACCGGCUAACUACGUG
rnacentral:rRNA from 1 species